GUUAAUGGGUGAUAGCGUGCCUUUUGUAGAAUGAACCGGCGAGUUACGAUUUGUUGCAAGGUUAAGCGGAAAAAGCGGAGCCGUAGCGAAAGCGAGUCUGAAUAGGGCGCAUAAGUAACAGGUCGUAGACCCGAAACCAGGUGAUCUACCCAUGUCCAGGAUGAAGGUAAGGUAAUACUUACUGGAGGUCCGAACCCACGCACGUUGAAAAGUGCGGGGAUGAGGUGUGGGUAGCGGAGAAAUUCCAAUCGAACUUGGAGAUAGCUGGUUCUCUCCGAAAUAGCUUUAGGGCUAGCCUCGAGGUAAAGAGUCAUGGAGGUAGAGCACUGUUUGGACUAGGGGCCCUUCUCGGGUUACCGAAUUCAGAUAAACUCCGAAUGCCAUGUACUUAUACUCGGGAGUCAGACUGCGAGUGAUAAGAUCCGUAGUCGAAAGGGAAACAGCCCAGACCACCAGUUAAGGUCCCCAAAUAUAUGUUAAGUGGAAAAGGAUGUGGGGUUGCUUAGACAACCAGGAUGUUGGCUUAGAAGCAGCCACCAUUGAAAGAGUGCGUAAUAGCUCACUGGUCGAGUGACCCCGCGCCGAAAAUGUACCGGGGCUAAACAUAUUACCGAAACUGUGGAUGAACCUCUUCGGAGGUUCGUGGUAGGAGAGCGU
rnacentral:rRNA from 1 species